AUGCCUUUGUGGUCCCUGCUGUAGCAAGGCAUCUGAGGUCUUUCAACCAAGGAAACAACCAGACUGAGUCAACAACUGUGUGGCUAGAAAGCAACUGUUUUCAAAAGCUGAGACCCCUUUGCUGUUGUCAGAAGGAAAGUGUACCCCACUUAGCGGAUGCAGGAUGGGAAGCCAAUGUUUUCUUCCAAGUUGGUAGACAAGGAAUUCUCAGACUGUGUCAGCCUGACACCCACCACGCCAGCUACUGAGGGAGAAGAGGACAAACCGAAGAAGCCCUCAGAACUUCUGUGAAGGACUGACUUGGGAUGUAGGCUACAGUCGGGAGUGUGCCAGAGUCAGCUCAAACAGGCUCUCUACAGCGGAUUGUUCACUUCAGAAAUCUGCAAGUACUACAAAUCAGGCCUUGAUGUAUUGUUUUGUUGAUUGUCUAGACUUUUAAAAAGUGAUGGAAAAAUGCUAAUAAUACAGAUUAAACUCAAAAGUGUGUUCUACAUACAUUCUCUCCUCCCCCUUUCCCCAGCUGGUUGUUAAACAUUCACCAGCACAAGCUGGCUAGUGUAUUUUCCAGUAUUAAGCAACCUCUUCAUUCAACAUAAUUCAAUAACCAUUUAUUAAACAGUUAUUAUGUAUAAGACAUAUUCAUAACACUGGACUUGGAGUCAGGAAAGCCUGGGUUGAGAUUCCUUUUGAGACACUUACUAGCUUUAUAAGGCAGGUCAAGUCACUUCCCUCAAUCUCAGUUUCCUUAUUGUAAAAUGAG
rnacentral:lncRNA from 1 species